CUAGCCGUAAACGAUGGAUACUAGGCGUUGAGAGGAUCGACCCUCGCAGUGCCGUAGCUAACGCGUUAAGUAUCCCGCCUGGGGAGUACGCGCGCAAGCGUGAAACUCAAAGGAAUCGACGGGGGCCCGCACAAGCGGUGGAGUAUGUGGUUUAAUUCGAUGCAACGCGAAGAACCUUACCAGGGCUUGACAUGUCCGGAACCCUGCCCAAAGGUGGGGGUGCCUACGGGAGCCGGAACACAGGUGGUGC
rnacentral:rRNA from 1 species